UGGGGAAUAUUGCACAAUGGGCGCAAGCCUGAUGCAGCCAUGCCGCGUGUGUGAAGAAGGCCUUCGGGUUGUAAAGUACUUUCAGUCGGGAGGAAGGUGGUAAGGUUAAUAACCUUGGCAAUUGACGUUACCGACAGAAGAAGCACCGGCUAACUCCGUGCCAGCAGCCGCGGUAAUACGGAGGGUGCAAGCGUUAAUCGGAAUUACUGGGCGUAAAGCGCACGCAGGCGGUUGAUUGAGUCAGAUGUGAAAUCCCCGGGCUUAACCCGGGAAUUGCAUCUGAGACUGGUCAGCUAGAGUCUUGUAGAGGGGGGUAGAAUUCCAUGUGUAGCGGUGAAAUGCGUAGAGAUGUGGAGGAAUACCGGUGGCGAAGGCGGCCCCCUGGACAAAGACUGACGCUCAGGUGCGAAAGCGUGGGGAGCAAACAGG
rnacentral:rRNA from 1 species